AAGGUCCUGGCUUAAUUAAAGUAUCUGAGUUGCAUUC
rnacentral:tRNA from 1 species